rnacentral:lncRNA from 1 species
CGGUGUUUUGUCAAAUUUAACAUUUUUUCUUCAUCUGUCAUCUACAUCUACAACACUUCUCACACCAACACGCUCCGUUAGCUCGGCCCCCUUCCAUAGACCCACAUACUGCUGACUCGCGGCAGGGCCAGAGGCAGCGACCGCACAUAAAAAAAACGAAUAUAAGCUGCCCGUCCCGCAGCGCAGUGGGUUAAAAGUCGGCAGAGGCAGAGGCCGGGGGACGGCAGAGGCAGGGACCGAGUGAAGCAGAAUCAGAGUGUGAAUGAGAGUAUGUGCAAGAAACACAAAUAAGCUUCGGGACGGGGUGAGUUAGCCACUGGAAAUUAAUUUCUUCAUUGUGCCUAUAAUAAUGAUCCAAUCGGAUCCCAAUUUGGUGAUCAGAUAGAUAUGGCCAUUUUCUACGGAAUGGGGAUUUUAGUUUUCUUUUAUCUUUAAAAUUGUAGAUUUAGGAAGUUUUCGCCAAUUCACAUUAAACGUUGUGACGCGUAAGAAGCGUCUCACACGUCCUUUAUCGUUUUUUUUGUGUGCGGGCACUGCCUCUGCCGCGAGUCUGCAGUGUGUGGGUCUAGGGAGGGGCGGCGAACAAACGGAGCGUGUUGGUGUGAGAAGUGUUGUAGAUGUAGAUGACAGAUGAAAAAAAAUUUACAAUUUGACAGGUGCCGGGUAUAAAAGUUGUGACGCGUAAGAAGCGUCUUACACGUCCCUUCUCGUGUCUUCCUAUUUUCACUCCAAGAACAAUUGCCGAAUAAAACGAAUGCAGUUCAAGAGGGC